UCCGGGUUUCGCCCGGCAGUAUCCCUAGAAAUUCAACUAAGGACAAGGGUUGCGCUCGUUGCGGGACUUAACCCAACAUCUCACGACACGAGCUGACGACAGCCAUGCAGCACCUGUGUUACGGCUCUCUUUCGAGCACACCCUCAUUUCUGAGGGCUUCCGUACAUGUCAAGGGUAGGUAAGGUUUUUCGCGUUGCAUCGAAUUAAUCCACAUCAUCCACCGCUUGUGCGGGUCCCCGUCAAUUCCUUUGAGUUUUAACCUUGCGGCCGUACUCCCCAGGCGGUGUGCUUAAAGCGUUAGCUGCGACACCGAAGAGCUAGGCUCCCCAACGUCUAGCACGCAUCGUUUACAGCGUGGACUAC
rnacentral:misc_RNA from 1 species